AUUGAACGCUGGCGGCAUGCUUUACACAUGCAAGUCGAACGGUAACAGGCCUUCGGGUGCUGACGAGUGGCGAACGGGUGAGUAAUGCAUCGGAACGUACCCAGAGGUGGGGGAUAACGCAGCGAAAGCUGUGCUAAUACCGCAUGUGAUCUGAGGAUGAAAGCGGGGGACCGAGCAGCAAUGUUUGGCCUCGCGCCUUUGAAGCGGCCGAUGUCGGAUUAGCUAGUUGGUGGGGUAAAGGCCUACCAAGGCGACGAUCCGUAGCUGGUCUGAGAGGACGACCAGCCACACUGGGACUGAGACACGGCCCAGACUCCUACGGGAGGCAGCAGUGGGGAAUUUUGGACAAUGGGCGCAAGCCUGAUCCAGCAAUGCCGCGUGCGGGAAGAAGGCCUUCGGGUUGUAAACCGCUUUUGGCAGGAACGAAACGGUGUCCGCUAAUACCGGGCGCUAAUGACGGUACCUGCAGAAUAAGCACCGGCUAACUACGUG
rnacentral:rRNA from 1 species